rnacentral:lncRNA from 1 species
CAACUCAAACUAACAGACCUCUAGCUAUGAUUAUGAGUAAAACAUAUGAAAAACUAUUAAUAACACAGACAUGUCUUUGAGAGGAAGGUCAAUGCUAAGGAGUUAAUGUUACAUUUUUGGUCCCUGAGAAGGUAGAACACCAAGAUUCCAUCAAAUCCUGCUUGAUGGGUGAACUAUUUCCAUGGUGUCAGACACAGUUAAGGACAACUUCAUCAGACCACUGGAGCCAACUGAUCAGUCAUGAACAGAUCUAAACUAAAGCUUCUUCUCUCUGCAGGUUCCUACUCAGUCCCAGGAAUUCUAAGUCAGGAUCAAGCAGGCAUCAAAGAAGAGUGAUGGGCAGAGCUCUGCAGAUUGCUCUUCUGCGUUAGUUGAGAAGCUCAGAAAAGAGAGGUAUCAUCUCCCAAUAAGAAUUAGGCAGCCCGACAGUAGCCUGUGACCAACAAACACCUCAGUCUCCGUGGACUCAUCCACGCCUACAGACGGUGCAUCUCAAGCACUUUACAGAUGUCUAGGAACUGGCCUCUAGAAGUGAGCACAGUAUUUACAAAGAGCUGAGAGGUCAAUGAAGAAGGAAGAUGAGAGGUGACUGCCUACUUUAAUAGUACUUUCUUCUAUCAGAUGAGAAACCCAAAGAAAAACCCAAAGAUCAAUCUAUUGACUACACCUAGAAUCAACUUCUGGAAAUAAAACUGCAGAUAACAAAUUGGCUUGAAAAGUAGGAAUUGAAAGAAUAUUUCUUAUUGCUGAAUCAAGAGCAGCAAAGUGUAUUUCACUAACUUUCUAAUGUGAAAAGACCAUAAUAACAUCUGAGUGAUGAUACCCCCUGAAGACCCACCUGUGGGGAGUUCUUGCUCCCCAUGUGGCAGCGGAGAGACUGCCCUUCCUCUCCGGAUUCUUCUUUGCAGAGAUGGAGCAGUCCUAUAGAACAGCAAAGUACUCAGGGUGAUCUCGGUGCUGGGUUUGGGUUAGAAUCCUUAAUAGGCCCUACACUUGACCACUGAGCAGAACAGGAAGCAAUCUUUUUAAAUGCAAAGAUUCAGAGGAGAAAACAAGGCAUUGUCCAAGUAAGAGAGGAGAGACAUGGCCUAUUUAGAUAUCUAUCCAGGUAAAUGUGCAAGUUUUAAUCACAAACAUAAGAUUUUACAGGAGGCUUGAAAACAAAUGGACAAUUUUUUCCUUAGUUUUAUCAAAGAUAAAACCCAGAGAAUAGCAUAAUAAUGAAAAUGUUUACUUUUGGAAAGAUCACUGUAAGACCUAUUCCCUUUCUCUUUAAAGCUUUUAUUUUUUUUAAUUCCAAAUAAAUUAUAAAAACACAGAUUUGUAAAAUAAAUACUGUAAGUCAGAAGUUAUAUGCUGUAUGUCAAACUUGAAAAGUAGGCUGUUAGACUGCUGGUCAUGUCAAUUACUUCCAGGCUACAGUCACACUUGGAAUACAAUGGAUGAUAUGAAUUGCAUUCCACUGGAAGAAAAGCUGUGCAUCCUACCAAAGUAAUCUGCUAAACAGAUAUAAAUUUGGAAGAGUCUAACUAUUCACUAUAACUUACCACCUUCAAGAGACGACAAGUUGUUUAUACUUCGAGUUUUUAUUUUACUAAAAAAAAAAAAAAAAUCAUAGGGAGAUAAUCCAGAAAAUAUCACCUCUAAGUAUCUAUGGAAUAACCACGGAUUAACUGCAAUCAGGAACAUCAAUAGAUUGAUUUAAAUAAACUAAGCUUCACAUGUGAAUUGCAACCAAAAAAAAAGGUUGAAGUUGAACUCUUUGAACACCUGUAUAAGGACAAUUCCAACGGAGACAGUGGUGAACCCACAGGCCAUGCCCAAGAAGUCCACCAGACCCACGUUGCUCCACUCUCGGAAGAGGAUGGCU